rnacentral:rRNA from 1 species
GAUGAACGCUGGCGGCGUGCCUAAUACAUGCCAGUCGAGCGAACGGACGAGAAGCUUGCUUUUCUGAUGUUAGCGGCGGACGGGUGAGUAACACGUGGAUAACCUACCUAUAAGACUGGGAUAACUUCGGGAAACCGGAGCUAAUACCGGAUAAUAUUUUGAACCGCAUGGUUCAAAAGUGAAAGACGGUCUUGCUGUCACUUAUAGAUGGAUCCGCGCCGCAUUAGCUAGUUGGUAAGGUAACGGCUUACCAAGGCAACGAUGCAUAGCCGACCUGAGAGGGUGAUCGGCCACACUGGAACUGAGACACGGUCCAGACUCCUACGGGAGGCAGCAGUAGGGAAUCUUCCGCAAUGGGCGAAAGCCUGACGGAGCAACGCCGCGUGAGCGAUGAAGGUCUUCGGAUCGUAAAACUCUGUUAUUAGGGAAGAACAUAUGUGUAAGUAACUGUGCACAUCUUGACGGUACCUAAUCAGAAAGCCACGGCUAACUACGUG